AGUGAACGCUGGCGGUGGGCCUAACACAUGCAAGUCGAACGAAAACACAGUAAGAGCUUGCCCUCACGGGUGGCGGGUGGCGGACGGGUGAGGAAUACAUAGGAAUCUAAUUUUUCGGGGGGGAUAACGGAGAGAAACUUACGAUAAUACCUAAUACGACCUACGGGUGGAAUCAGGGGAGCAUGGGACCUUGCGCGAUUGAAUGAGCCGGUGUCGGAUUAGCUAGUUGGGUGGGUAAGGGCCCACCAAGGCAACGAUCCGUAGCUGAUCUGAGAGGAUGAUCGGCCACACUGGAACUGAGACACGGUCCAGACUCCUACGGGAGGCAGCAGUAGGGAAUAUUCCGCAAUGGGCGAAAGCCUGACCCAGCAACACCGCGUGAGUGAUGAAGGCCUUCGGAUCGUAAAGCUCUGUUAUUAGGGAAGAACAACCGUGUAAGAAACUGCGCCCGUCUUGACGGUACCUAAUCAGAAAGCCCCGGCUAACUACGUG
rnacentral:rRNA from 1 species